AGAUAUAAAAGCAUAAUAUUAAUUUCUAGAGGUCUAUGCAAUUAUUGGUAACACUUUACUAGGUCUCAUUUGUUAACAUUAGUUAAUGUAUUAACUAACAUGAACAAACCAUGAGCAGUACAUUUGUUACUGUAUUUGCUAAUCUUUGUUAACGUUAGUUAAUAAAAAAUACAGCUGUUCAUGGAUGAUCUCUGUCUUACAUGCGCUUAAUGAGGCACACUAGCACACACACGCAAGGUCUCCUCCCCCCUCUCUGCCGUGCGCGUGCUACUCUUUCUUGCUCGCUCUAGAUUCCGGGAGAUUUUAACUACUUUGUGGGCAUCAGGGAGCCGAAAUCAAAAUACGGGAGACUCCCGGAACUUCCGGGAGACUUGGGAUGUCUGGUACUCCAUGGUAUGUAUUCUGAUAUUAAAUGAAAGUGCUAAACCAUUUGAAGCUUUAUAAGUGAUUAACAAUGUUUUAAAUUGUAUAUGACACUUAAUUGGCAGUUUUCGUCUUGCAUAUGGAUUUUUUGUCAAUGUCUUUCAUUUUUUUCUGGGCUUGAAUAGUGUUGGUUGAUUAACAGUCUAUGGGACAGUCACAAACCUCACGGUUUUCAUCAAAAAUAUCUCAAAAUGUGUUUCGAAGACGAUCGAAAGACUUGUAGGUUGAAAUGAAACGGGUACGUGAUUCAUAGGAUUUUUAGUAUUUAGAGAACUAUCACUUUAACUAACAUUAACAAAGAUAAAUAAAUGCUGAAAGUUUUUUUCAUUUUUAGAAUUUAUGCAAAUCUUAGCAUUUCCAUUCAGGUUUUUAAAAUGCGGAUUAAAAUACUGUAGAUGGAUGAAAACAUAACUAUAGUUAGUUACUGUUACCUAAUGUAUUUACGUAUGUUAACAAAUACAGCUUUAUUAUAAAUAAAACUAUAUUUUAUCUUCUGCAGUGUUUUGAUCCUUUGCCUAGAAUUUGUGAAAAUAAUUUUCUUGUCCUUUUAUUCUGCAGCUUCCUGAGGUCUCACCCUUAGAUACUUUUCAAACACUAUUAAAGGAGUUCACAUCUGUACGGGACUCAUUUGCCUGUUUUUUUUUCACUCCAAGUAAUGCAUUUCAAAUACAUUUUAUAUUUUUUUAUUAAUGAAAGGAAAUUUGUUCUAAAUUAAAGAAAUGAAUAUAUUGAACUAUUAAAGAGCCAGUAAGAUGACAAUUUUAAGCAUCCUAUCACUAUUUAUAAGUCCCGGACAACAGGUUUUAAAUGCAUGCAAGGUCAAAAAACACUGUAAUUUUCUCAAAAUAUAAAUUUAAAAUUACCCCAUUUCUCAGAGAUCCCCAAACGAUUCGUGUGAAGCCAUUCAACGACUCAGCCUGCCUAAACCCCACCUUUCAGUAGCCUACUCUGCUCUGAUUGGUCAACUGACAGAGUGUCUUUGCACACAAUGCACAGAUCAGUCUCACAGACCACAGAUCGGUGGCACAGACCAACAACAGUGCAACAUGUAUUGACCUCGUGCUAACAUGAUUUACUGAGAAGACAUUGUCAACAUCAAUACACACCAUUCAUCAUUAAUCCAAGCAAGAAAAACGACGAUUGAAACUAACAUUUUUCACUCAUUUAAGCAUUUAUCUAAACUAACCGGGUCAUAGCAAAACCGUAAAUAAGCAUGCGUUAGCCGUUUGCUAACGUGACUCUCUGACAGUAAAUUAACAGUUUAAACACACAACAUCAUUCAUCAUUAAUCCAAACAAUACAAACGACGAUUGAAACUAACAAUUUUACACUCAUUUAAGCAUUUAUCUAAACUAACCGGGUCAUAGCAAAACUGCUUGCUAUCGUGGCUCUGACAGUAUAUAAGUUAGAGUUUAAACAACGAUAUCAUUCAUCAUUAAUCCAAGCAAUAAAACGACUAUAGACAUUUUACACUCAUUUAAGCAAGUAUGUAGCUAUAAUCAUACUUACAGGUUGUGGUUAGGAGACGCAUGUUGUUCCAAAUAAAGUGGGUACUGAACCAUCUUGCAUUGCCAAACGUCUAAAUCCCUCUGUUAAAAAUUAAUUUUAACCACUGAUUCUUCACAGCCAGACACGUUUAGAAUAUCCCUCCUUGAAAAAGUCUCCUUUGGUAGUGAAAACAACAAAAGCUGAAAACAGCGUGAGCUGAUGUUUACACUCACACACUAGCUAGCUGUGGGCGGGUCAUAGUUUUCGUUUCUCCCGCAGGCAAGGCUGUAGGCGGAGAUUAGUAUCUCAUGUGACGUGGAUAAGUUUGUGUGACGUGGAUAAUAUCAGGAAGAAGACUCACUCCCUACACUCUAAAAAAUCUGGGGUUAUUUUUUCUACCCAAAUGUGGGGUUAAGUCAUUUGGGUAAUUUUUUUUGGGUUAUUUUCGCAGUCUUGGGUAGUUUUUUGGGUAGUUUUAUGUAACCCCACCACUGGGUUAUUUUCUGGGUAAUUUUCACUGAGAGUGGAAUCAAUACACCCCCCUCCCCCUCCCGGACUCAACAACCCAGCUCAUUGGGUCAAAUCAACUCGGCGCAGAUUCAGGUGCAGCACACGGGCUGACUGAAUUUGAGGUGGAUGCAACACACACUAAUAUUUGGAGAAAUAAGUUAAAGCAGCCUAUCCCCCGCUGUACAUCAGUGCAGCGGCUGGGUCAAAACAACCCCUUUCAUGGAUCAUCUGUCGCGGGGAUUUUGGAUCGUCAGAAGGAGAAAUACAGCAGGACUUUACAAGCAGACAUUCUUCAGCGGUUCUUUUCUGGUGAAAUAAAGGUGGUCUGAGUUUCCAUGAGUUUCCUAGGCUAACUACCCCAGGCAUGAUUGCACAAGACUUUUACACAUUACACCAGGAUGCAGCUCCAAAACUCUUCGAGAAAUGGCUCCCUUGAUAUACCGAUAGGAUCUUGCAUUUUUCUAAACCAGAAGCAAAGCUUCCAUGUUCAGUUGAGGAGAUGACACAAGAUGCAAACGGAUAUCUUGCAUUAAAGCUGCUCCCUGUUUUGCUUCCACCUCCACCCUUCAAAACUGCCAGAAAAAGUCCGGCCCAGCAUUGAUGAUGGCAAAAAAGCUUUCAUCGACAUUCAGCCUGUUGGAACAAAUAUGAUGGAGUACCUCCAGCAGGCUGAAGCAUCAGGACUUUACCCUUAUUUCCUGUCACUUGAAAAUGGACACAUGAGUCCCAGGCAUUCGUCAUCCUUGGAGGAGAAACUUUGGACAAGGCACUUUGAUUGGGGUAGUAGAAGCACUACAUUCUUGCAAGUAAAUGACAAGAGGUUUUUUGAAUAGACUGAGUUUCAGGUACAAGAGUUAUCAUUUUAGGUUUUUUUUACAGACUUAAAGGUGCUCUAAGCGAAUCUGUGUGACGUUACUUUUUGUUGAUGUUUGAACUGUUUUCAAACAAACGGAGCGUAGCUAACUCCUUCCCUCCCUUCCGUGCUUUCAUGAACGCGCCCAACCCUCACCCCCAAAUGCUUCUUGUCGUUAAUUGGCUGAAACACUUUGUUAUCCUUUCUGGUAGUAGGUUUGGCUACUUUGUUUUUA